rnacentral:lncRNA from 1 species
AAGUUACUACUGUAAGUUUCUAUGGCUUUAGGACUUAGGCCAGGGAGCCAUAAUUUAUCUGAAAAAUAGAUGCAGAGAAACAGUUGGAAGUUAUAAUCAUUGAAGUUUGUGCUUAACUCUGGAAAUCUCAUUAGGUUUUAAUGCUUUUCAUUUCUCAUUAUGUAUUAGAAUAUGUUCUAUUAACAUGUUUGUAAGACCAGUGGAACUAAAGCCAGAAAAUCAGAAAUGGAAAGAAGCAGGUUUACAAUGAGGCAAGAAAUAGAAAACCCGGUACAUGUGGGAUCUGGGAUCGCAUCUGGUCUGUCCUAAUAUAAUCACAGGUGUAUACAGCCACUUUUGACGAAGCAUGAGGGCUUUCUUGCUGUGAAGAAUUUCCAAAAUCUAAAACAUUCUGUUUACAUUUAUUGUAUUUAAAAUUGUUAGUUAAAUUUAAUGCACUUUAUAUGGUAGAUCUAUCAGCUUUAUAAGAAAGUACACUUCUAAGAAUUUGUUUCCAAAGAUUUUAAGAUAAUAGAGGUUUUAUUGAAUUUAACUUAUCUAGAACCAAACUUCAUUUGAUCCCCACCCCAUCCCAAUAACGUGGCUUAGCCGAGUUGUGAUGAAAAAUAUUGUAGAACACACGUUUUCUGGUGGCAGUGUGGCUCAGGGCUAGAGUACUUGCCUAGUAUGCCUGGCCCUCAGUUCAGUCAUCAGCACUGCCAAAAACUUCUAGCUAUAGAACACAUAUUUGCUGCUGUGCGUGGUGGUGCAUGCUUAUAAUCUCAGUGGCUUGGGAGACUGGGAAAGAGAAUCACCAGUUCAAAGCCAGCCUCAGCAAUGGCAAGGUGCUAAGCAACUCAG